rnacentral:lncRNA from 1 species
ACUCGUGAAUGGCAUCACAAGAUGACUAUUUCACUGCAACGCAGAAUUCCUCAGCUUUAUUUGCAUCUUCUAUUUUUGGCAGGUUUCCAACAAAUGCAUGAUACUUAGAUAAACUCUUGGAGUCACAUAUGUCAUCAGUCACACAUUUUGGGGUGUUAAUCUCCUAGGACAAGGAGGUCAAAUAUGUAAGAAGAAUUGUUCUACUCUGCACAGCUCUGUCCUGCACGAGGAGCCAUCAAUGAUUUUGUUGUGGUUAUUACAUAUGAAAAUGGGAGAAAACAACAGCAUCUUUCACACUCAAAUGUAAAGCAGAAGUGAUAGGAAAGGUUUAGUUUCAGUAACCUUUGCUGCUUCAGCUAUUUGCACUAAUGGGGUUUUUCUGCUUCAGAGUAUCUUCCCAGUUGGAGAGGCCAGCCUUCCUGAAAGGGAGAGUGGACAGGUUGAUCCUGCACUUCUGGACUUCUUCCUCUACCAGAAUAUCUCUUAACCUUAUUAACUUAGGCUCUUAUUAAAGGGAGCUCUGUGCAGCAGUGUGC